rnacentral:rRNA from 1 species
UACGGAGGGGGCUAGCGUUAUUCGGAAUUACUGGGCGUAAAGCGCACGUAGGCGGCUUUGUAAGUUAGAGGUGAAAGCCUGGAGCUCAACUCCAGAAUUGCCUUUAAGACUGCAUCGCUUGAAUCCAGGAGAGGUGAGUGGAAUUCCGAGUGUAGAGGUGAAAUUCGUAGAUAUCGAGAGGAACACCGGUGGCGAAGGCGGCGACCUGGGUCGAGACUGACGCUGAGGCGCGAAAGCGUGGGGAGCGAACAGG